AGACAGUAGAACUAGGUUGUAUCUGUGUGUCAGACAGUAGAACUAGGUUGUGUCUGUGUGUCAGACAGUAGAACUAGGUUGUAUCUGUGUGUCAGACAGUAGAACUAGGUUGUGUCUGUGUGUUAGACAGUAGAACUAGGUGGUAUCUGUGUGUCAGACAGUAGAACCAGGUUGUAUCUGUGUGUCAGACAGUAGAACCAGGUUGUAUCUGUGUGUCAGACAGUAGAACUAGGUUGUGUCUGUGUGUUAGACAGUAGAACUAGGUGGUAUCUGUGUGUCAGACAGUAGAACCAGGUUGUAUCUGUGUGUCAGACAGUAGAACCAGGUUGUAUCUGUGUGUUAGACAGUAGAACUAGGUGGUAUCUGUGUGUCAGACAGUAGAACUAGGUGGUAUAUGUGUGUCAGACAGUAGAACUAGGUGGUAUCUGUGUGUCAGACAGUAGAACUAGGUUGUGUCUGUGUGUCAGACAGUAGAACUAGGUGGUAUCUGUGUGUCAGACAGUAGAACCAGGUUGUAUCUGUGUGUCAGACAGUAGAACUAGGUGGUAUCUGUGUGUCAGACAGUAGAACUAGGUUGUAUCUGUGUGUUAGACAGUAGAACUAGGUUGUAUCUGUGUGUCAGACAGUAGAACCAGGUUGUA